rnacentral:rRNA from 1 species
UGCAUGGUUGUCGUCAGCUCGUGUCGUGAGAUGUUGGGUUAAGUCCCGCAACGAGUCGCAACCCUUGUCUUAGUUGCCAUCAUUAAGUUGGGCACUCUAAAGAGACUGCCGAUGACAAAUCGGAGGAAGUGGGAUGACGUCAAAUCAUCAUGCCCCUUAUGUUCUGGGCUACACACGUGCUACAAUGGCCGGUACAGACGGAGGCGAAGCCGCGAGGCGGAGCAAAUCCGAAAAAAGCCGGUCUCAGUUCGGAUUGCAGGCUGCAAUUCGCCUGCAUGAAGUCGGAAUCGCUAGUAAUCGCAGGUCAGCAUACUGCGGUGAAUACGGUUCCCGGGCCUU